UUCCCAUCCUUGAAAGAAUUUGCUUUGUAUGCUGCUGAUUUGAGAAGAAAUAAUUAUGAACCAAGGUUUAUCAAGAUUCUACUGAAACAAGCAUGGUCGUUGAUAAGUGAUAAUGAAAUAAAAAGCUGGUCAUCUCAAACUGGAAUGCCUAUUGUACACCCAUCUUAACCUACCAGAACUUGAUCGUGUUAAAAACAUUGUUGAAUAUUAAAAAUAAAAUGAAAGUUUUACUUUAGCUUAAUAUCAUUAUUUUUGAAAAUUUGCAAUAAUGUAUAUUGUUGCAAUAUUUGUGUUACUAGAUAACUUAAUUUCGGUUUUCCAAGUAUUAUUUCGAUAAGUAUAAUACAAUUUUUACUACUGUACACAUCAUGAUGAGGAUCAAUGUAAUUGGGGCCUGCACCUUGACGGUCACCAGCUUUCAAUGAAUUUUUUUAUUUUCUUUAUCGAGAUGCAGUCACUAGAAAUGAUGGCAAUUUGAAGAAUUAUGAUUUUUAUUGACAGUUUCAAGCAGAAUCUCUUCACUUACAAAUGUAUUCAAUAUUUACACAUCACACUGCUUUAUGGAAUUCUUAUCUCGACUUUUUAGAACCUUGUUAAAUUUACAAUGCUUUUUACAAAUAAGUACAAUUUCCAAAUUUGACACUUACAAUGUUAUUAUACAACCAACCAGUUACUUCAUGUUGAACUACUUGUUGAAAUACUAUUUACGUUUUUCCUUCAUACAAUUUAAGCAGAAUAUUUUUGCCUGUUUGGAAUGUUGCCAUAUUUCAGUAAUUAUGCCAUAGUUUAGUAAUUUAGAACAAUAACACAAUUUAUGUUUUUUUCACUAUUAUAAUUCUGAUAGAAGUGAUACAAGUACUACUUGAUAUUCUUAAUAUGACAAUUUUAGUCUGCAUACUGUCUUUCAAAUGACUUCGUUCCCAAAAGGUUGCAUCAUUCAAAAGGCAAAGUAAAGUAAUACGAAUCCAAUAUUUCUGUGUAAUUUACUGCCACUUUUUCCAAUAUAAGUUUCAUGAUGCUGUAGUUUUUCAGUUACGGACAUUGCCUCAGAUUGGUAUGAUUUUCUCUAGGACAUUUGUUGGAUUAUAAAGAUAAUUAUUCUUAGUUUCAUAG